rnacentral:rRNA from 1 species
CAGCAGCAGCCACGGUAAUACGUAGGUGGCAAGCGUUGUCCGGAAUUAUUGGGCGUAAAGGGCUCGCAGGCGGUUUCUUAAGUCUGAUGUGAAAGCCCCCGGCUCAACCGGGGAGGGUCAUUGGAAACUGGGAAACUUGAGUGCAGAAGAGGAGAGUGGAAUUCCACGUGUAGCGAUGAAAUGCGUAGAGAUGUGGAGGAACACCAGUGGCGAAGGCGACUCUCUGGUCUGUAACUGACGCUGAGGAGCGAAAGCGUGGGGAGCGAACAGGAUUAGAUACCCGGGUAGUCCCUGUCUCUUAUAC